CUUUUCUUUUCUUUUUUUUUCUCUCUUCUUCUUCCUCCGUGCGCCGCGACCCCCACCCGUCCUCUUCUCCUUCCCGUUCGCAUCAAUCGCCGCCCCAUCCGUUCUCUUCUCUUUCGUUCGCAGCAGCCGUCGGCCGCCGCGUCUCCCCUACUGAAGCCGAGCGCCGCGACCAUUCCUUUCUCCUCUUCUCUUCAGUUCGCAAAGCAGCUGUACGCGUCCAAAUCUGUCGUCGUCCAGAUCUGCACCGCAAGACCUUCCGUCGUUGCGACCGUUGCUCUUUCUCCGCUGCCCAGCCGUCUCAGCCGGUUCUGUCUCCGUCGAAGCCACGGUUCUGCAACCGUCUCCGCCGGUUCUGUCUUCGUCGAAGCUAAGGCCCCCGCGUGAACCAGUAACCGCUACGCUCUCCGCUCACAACCGCCGCUCCACUUGCUAUCGACGUCGGUCGACUAGUUGCUGUAACCGUUCAGAUUUGCUGUAACCGUUCAGAUUCGCGGUCUGUUCGCGACGGUCUCCAUCCGUGAAGCCCAGCCGCCACGUUCCCUUUGGCCGACCGCUGACCGACCCACACUUAGGAUUUUGCUGCAAGUUCGACAGUCGUGCGUUGAGGUGUUGGGAGUAACGUUAGGCUCCCUUGCAUUCACAACCAGUUUGUGAGUUGUUGAGGGUUCAGUUCGCCAAUAUAUCGGAUUGUUUCGAGGACGUUAGUUGAUUAAGGAGCUUCCCCAACUUUGAGGUAAGGGAUUUUCUACUGGACUCAAUUGUGAUUGUGAACUGUGAUUGUGAACUGCAUGUGUGUUGAAUGUAUACUGUGGGCUAACUGAAAAUAUAUAUGAAUGUAUAUGAAUUGAAGUAGACUUGACG